GACGUAGGGCGCGAGCGUUGUCCGGAUUUAUUGGGCGUAAAGAGCUCGUAGGCGGCUUGUCGCGUCGACCGUGAAAACUCGCAGCUCAACUGCGAGCCUGCGGUCGAUACGGGCAGGCUAGAGUUCGGUAGGGGAGACUGGAAUUCCUGGUGUAGCGGUGAAAUGCGCAGAUAUCAGGAGGAACACCGAUGGCGAAGGCAGCUCUCUGGGACGGUACUGACGCUGAGACGCGAAAGCGUGGGGAGCAAACAGG
rnacentral:rRNA from 1 species